rnacentral:lncRNA from 1 species
UUCAAAUUCAAACAAAAGCAUAAUAAGUUUUUUUUUAAUUUCCAGCAAAGUAUAUAAACAAAGUAUAUUAGUUUACCUUACCACACAUACUUCGACAGAGACAAUUGAAGGAACUGUCUUUAGUUUGUAAGUGUUUGUUGAUUUUUAUAUUAUUUUUACAAGGCUUUAAACAGAUCUGCAAUGCUUCAACAACUUAGCAAGAUUAUGAUAAAUGUCGUAUUUUGUUUCUGAUAUUUUGUUUACUAGCUUAACAAAACUUUGAAUAAUUGUAAUACUAAGGUUUUUCUAUCUCAGGAUUCGAUUACAUCAGCUGUAUUUUGAAACACCUUAGGAUUUUUUUUUGUUUCUUGGUGAUCUCCAAUUUUACUUUAUUUGGCAUUUUUAACUGUUUUGUAUUCGAGCGUUACUGAUGAGUCUUUUGUAGAAGAAACGCUGUCGUAAGAUUGUUAUUAAAUUUUCUUUAUUGAUGUUUGAUAAAAAUGGAGACAUUUUAUAUUUGAGAUCCAAAUUUAAUGGUUUAUCUUCCUAUACAUGCAAUUAUUAAAUGAAAUUUCUACAUUCUACGGGCUUUUGUCAGAACUAUACUAGUUGGACAUUGGACGUCCAGUGAAAAAUAAUUAUGUUGCGUUUUUGGAAUUUGGAAUAACUCAGAAUUAAACAAAACCAUGGUAUAUCUUUAAUAUAAAAUUUGGAAAUGAUGGGUUAAAUAACAUUGUGUAUUGUAGUGCUUUACUUAAUUCGUUCUGUUUUUAUUCAAAAACAAAUGAACGAAAAAUUGCUACAUAUCUUUUUUCUUAACCUUAGAUAAGGAUAUUGCACUUUUAAAAUAUACAAUUUUAUUAUAUUAAACCAAUGUAAUAAGAAAAGAUUUUACAUCACUAUAACAUUCACACGAUUCAUUCAAUACAGGAAGUUUUGUAUUAAUAAAGUUCUAUCAGAAUGCGUUUUUUUUAUAUAAUUUUCCUACAGAAUAUAUUCGGAAAUUCUUACGCAGGAAAAUCUUAUCCUACAUUAUUAUAUGUCAUCUAGGUGAGCAAAUCCUCUACAUGAUGAAAAUAGGCAAGAUUCUGUGUGCCAUGUUCAUGGUGCUAAUAUCAGUUUUAGCAGGAACAGCUAGUGGAAUGCCACCUCGAGCACGACUUGAAUUUAGCAUAUUAAAACAAAUUUCUACACUAAAAACAGUAAAUUCCAAAAAUGUUAUUUAGUUUCUGGUUGAGAACAGAAUCAUUUGCUAAGGGACAUUCCGUUUUGAUUUUGCCCAAGAGUUUAGUAAUUUUGUGAUUUUACUUUUAAAAAAAAAUAUGUUAAAUUGUAAUUUUAAAUACAGCACAUUUUGCUUUCCAAACUAUUAUUUAAUGUUCAAAGUUUUUCGUAUAUGAUGAUGAAGCUAGGUUAUAUAUUCGAAAAUCCAAUGCAAGAAAAUCUUAUCCUACAUUAUUAUAUGUCAUUUAGAUGAGCAAAUCCUCUGCAAGAUGAAAAUAUUCAAUAUUUUGUGUGCGAUGUUCAUAGUGCUACUAUCAGUUUUAGCAGGAACAGCUAGUCGACGUCGUCUAGCACCACCACCAGGACGUCUUGGAUUUAACAGAUUAAAACGAGAUGCUAAUGCCAACACUCUAGAUAGAAUGGUAAGGUUUCUGGUAAUUACGUAAAGAAAAAUUAUUCCUUAUAUUGAGUUUUAAAAUAACAACAACUACUACUACUACUACUACUACUACUACUACUACUACUACUACUACAUGUACUACUAUUACUACUACUACUUUUACUACAACAACAACAUAAUGAUAAUAAUAAUAAUAAUAAUAAUAAUAAUAAUAAUAAUAAUAAUAAUAAUAAUAAUAAUAAUAAUAAAUGAUGAAAUAAUAAUGAUAAUAAUAACAACAUAAUCAAUAAUAAUCUUAUUUUUUUCAGGUAAAAAGAGAUUAGUUGGUCUGUGGCACAACAAACUGGAUCUUUCAUCAUUAAAUAAAAGAAGUUGAACUUAA